AGAGCAUACUGAGAGCAUCCAUGAGGAAGAGGAACACCACGGGGCAGAUGGACAUUCUGGCUGGGAAAUAGCAGUUCUUUGCUAGGACAGAAAGUGCUAGUCUGCAUACUUCGGUAUAUUUCGGACCUUGGUUAUCUUUGGCUUCUUCAGGGCACGUGCCUGGUACUGAGAUUGCUGGUCAGGUGACAAACAGGUGGCUCAUGUGGCAUCCUCCUGCAAAUCCUCCACAGAGGGUCCAUCCAACAGAUGGAGGGAAUUCUUUGGGAUUUCUUGAAAUCCUAUGCCGCACUGGUAUUCAAACAUCUUAUCCAGUGGUUACUCUUUGCUCUGGCUAUAUGUCCUCAAAAUUAGAUGGCCUGUAGCACAGAUCUCCUGUGUAUGCUUGAUCUAGUCCAGAAGCUCUCUCCACCUUUGUUUUCCUUUUCACUACUUCUAUUUUCUCUUGUAGCACAUUAGAUGUUAGAGUACAAUUGUAGUGCUUUUACUGUCAAUGAAGGAGGAAAGUUUACUAUAGGAAUCUUGGCAUAUCUUUCCCACUUUUUCAGUUGUAUGUUCUUCUCUAGUUCUAUUCUUAAAUGCUCGCAGGGUGAACUGGCUUAGUUGGGUCUCUUUGCUGCAUUUCUUUAAAGCUGUUUUUCUCUCCACUGAUUCUUGUUGUUCUAUGAGGUGAUACUGCUCAUUAUCCCCUACCAGAUUUUCCAUAAGAUCUUAAACACAAGUUUAUAUUCCAAAUCAGUGCUAAGCUCAACUGUUACAUGUUUCUAUUUAGCAAGGAGAUCAAGUGUUGGUUGGAUGAAGUCGUUUCUCAGCUCUCCUAGUAGUGAUAAUUGAUUAACAUCAGCUAAAUUUCUAUGAGAAAUGAUGAUGGUCUGUGUUGAUAGUUAUUUUUUUAUACAUUUCUCAUUUUUGGCAUCAAAAGUUUGUUUAAAUA